rnacentral:rRNA from 4 species
UGCAACCUGAGCUCAGUCGUGAUUACCCGCCGAACUUAAGCAUAUCAUUCAGCGGAGGAAAAGAAACUAACUAGGAUUC